AGAGUUUGAUCCUGGCUCAGGACGAACGCUGGCGGUGUGCUUCACACAUGCAAGUCGAACGAGAUAGCAAUAUCUAGUGGCGGACGGGUGAGUAACACGUGGGAAUCUGCCCUCAAGUGGUGAAUAACUAGCCGAAAGGUUAGCUAAUGUGCCAUAAGUCGAAAGAUGAAAGCAGCAAUGCGCUAGAGGAUGAGCCCGCG
rnacentral:rRNA from 1 species